rnacentral:tRNA from 1 species
UUAAUUGAAGCCAAAACAUGAGGCCUUCCAUUGUUAAUGGAAAAAUUGAUUUUUAAAAUCCAAUUAAA